CCCCCCCCCCCCCCCCCCCCCCCCCCCCCCCCCCCUGACUCCACAGGCUGAGCACUGCUUUUGGGGGAUCCACUCCUGAGAGAUGGAAAAACUUUUCUCUAAGGGCCUCCAACGGGAAAGUACAGAGCUACAGGACACAAGAAACCCCAUGAGCAAUCUGAACUGACGAUGCAAAUCCUGAAGGAAAUGCUGCAGGGAGGACAAGGUGGGCGCAUUUCCCUCAGCCUUCUCCUGAGGCUCAGCAGCCGGGGGCUUUCUCUGCACAUCUGGACACGCCGUGCCCGGCACAGUGGGAAGGGAUCCAUGGCAGCCUCGCUGCCCCGCUGCUGCUGUCACACCCUGCAGGGCUGUUUCCCAGCCUGGCCUGGCUGCAGCUUCUCCCCAGCCUCUGCAGGAAGGCCACUGGCAUCAGCUCACAUGGAGCCCAAAGUGCCCCACGGGCCAUGAACACCCUGAGAUCCCCUGAAAUUUCCCUGUCUUGGGGUAGAUCUGAAAAGGCAGCUGUUUGGAGAAGGGAGGGCCCUGCUGAAUCUGAAAAAAUUAUAUGAUUUCCUGAUCCUUAUCCACAACGUUUACAAGGACUGUCUCCUGAAGAUGCCACCUCCCCAAUGUGGAAUGGUUCCAUCUGAUCCUGUUGUCCCUUUCUCCAGUGAUGAAAGGAAAGACUGUGCUGAAGGCUCUGUUUCCCGGAGAAAGCCGUGGUUCUGUUCCAGCCAUGGCUGCAGGAAGGGAGGAGAUGCCAGGCACAGUCACAGGAGGUGAGCGUGCUAGGAAGACUUCUCCAGCAGCUUGGCGUCAUAAAGAUUUGCAGCCUCUGGAGCCUCCUGCAGAUGUGUCUGCAUGGAAAACUUUCCCUAAUCCCUUGGUGGAUGCUACACAGAAGCCCAGUUCCCAUCACAGGGGUUUCCUGAGAAGGAAGAACAAACAAAUAGAUAAAAGUGAGUCUCUGGAGGCAUCCGAUUUUCUGGCCCAGAUGCUGAGUGAUCUGGAGAGACGCCGUGGGAUGGACAGAGAGCCUCUAUGGAAGGCGACAUUUCCUGAAGGAAGGGAGGCAAUGCCAGGCACGGGCACAGGAGAUGAACCUGUUGGUGAAGGUGAUCUGGCUUCCCAACCCACAUCCAGGACUGAGAUUCAGGGUGCUGGUGAGGUGAUAGAGCAAAAGUCUGUGCUGAAGGAAGCAUUUCCCAGAGGAAGCAGUGGCUCGGUGCCAGCCUCUCCUGCAGGAGGGACAGCGAUGCCAGGCACGGGCACGGGCACAGGCACAGGAGGUGCUGCCGGCACCUCAACACAUGUUCCCAAUUCCCAGAAGGAAGAUGGAAAGGGUUUCUGUCAGGAUAUACACUGCUGGCUAAAGUUAAUGGCAUUUCUGGUUGUUUUGGAGCUUGUCUUCAUGUCAUGCUGUAUCGGAACCUGGUAUUACUGGAAGAGAAAACGGAGCGCAUCUGCAGCUUCACAGGACCGGACAAAGCCAUCAGUUGGAGACACCUUUGCCUGUCAUCGGCCAUCCCCAUGCCAGUGUCAAUUGGCCCUGUCACAGCUGCCUUUCCAGCUUGUUGCUCUGCUGCCACCACCCAGAACAAGACCCUCUGUCCCCAGAGGUGCUGGCCCUGGUGUUCGGCCAGGGCUGAAGGUGGCCCCCUCCUUCCAGGGAGUUUGAGUCCAGCAGCACCUUUGGGGUUCAGCUCUGGUGUCUGGGUUGUACCACCAGCACUGGCUGAGCUCCUUGUUUGGGGACAGCCAGUGCUGGGUAAGCAGCAGUCAGGCAUCAGGCUGCUAAGACACAGCCAUGUAGUUUUUUCUUAAUUUUUCAUUUUUAGAAAUUAGAAAUUUUUAGAAAUAUUUAGAAAUAUUUCUUGUAUAUUGAUAUCCCCAAAUAUUUUUCCUUAUUUCCACAUUAGUUUAGGAUUUUUCAAAGUAGUUUUAGAAUUCUGAAAAGCUUAGAACACUUUUACACAUCUAGAAUAAAGUAUAAAAUUGAAUUUAAUUGCUACUCUUUACUCUCGGAAGAACUAAGACACUCCAAGACACUUAUCCUGCUCCAAAGGUUCUUUUCCCACUCGAGAUUUGUACCUAGUCACAACCAAAUUACACAAAAACUUUUCACAGAUAUUUUCCAGAAUUUCUGACAAGCUCAUCUGUUUGUCUUUAGAGGGAAAUUUUGAGCACAGUGGGAAUCUUGUGAAGUCACUGUCUUUGCUUCUGAAGGAACUCCCUCAGUUCUAGAGCAGGGGUUUCUCUCAGCUUCCUGCCCAGCUGCGCUGCCCCCGGGCUCUCCUCCCGGCCCUCUGGGCUUUGUUGGGUGGCACAGCCUGUGCCAAGGGGGCCAAGGUGCCCCAGGCCCCAGCUCUGGGGGAGACAGAGAACGGCCUGGCUGUAUCCACGAGCUGCCAGCUCAGCUUGGUGGAAGCUGCUGUGGGCCAGGGCCAGCGCAGAGCUGGGCAGUGUAGCCCAGGCAACGUGGAGAGUCUUGGCUGACCUUGGUGUGUCCCUGGCCUCAGCAAAGGCUUGGAAGAUUUGCCUCCCAAGGCAUCCUGCUCAUUGGCUCUUCCUGCGCGCCUUGGAGAGAACAAGGUAGGCAUUUCUGGCAGCUGGGCAUUAGCAGGCUUUAAAACAGGGGCGUUGUGGAGCAAGCCCAGCUGAGAUAGUCUGAGAAGAGCCCAGUGCUCCUUGCUCCUCCCUGCUGACACCAGAUCAUUUGUGUGGUUUUGGGAUGAGCCUGGCUCUGUCAGGGGGUGCUACGUGGACACGAGACAUCCGCUCCUGUCCCGCUGGGUCCCAGCAGUGCCUCGCAGCAGUCCUGCACGCACACCAGGAUGCUGGCCAAGAGAGGUCCUGGAAACUGAGGCAGCUGAUUUUAAGCAUUUCCUGGUGCCUACAGGUCAAGGCCAACGGCGUUCCCUCAGGAUACAGCAGUCCUGAGGGUUCCCCCCAGAGCUGCCUGAUGCUGCCCACUCCUUGUGGCACCUGGUGCUUUCCUGUGGAAUGUUCCACCUCCCCCAAGAGUCAAGAGGCAGCUGGAGAAAGAGCUUGCCAGGCUGCUCUCGAUCCUUUCCCAGCAGUCCUGCUCAAGUGCAGAAGUCCGAGCUGAGCGGGACUGUGCAAAUGUAACAAGUGUGCACAGGAAGGGUUGGUGGGAAGGAUGAUCCAGGAACCAUAGGCCUGGCAGCCUGAGCUUGCUGCCAGGAAAGGCCUUGGAGCAGAUCCUCAUGAGUGCCAUCCCAUGGCACCUGCAGGGAACCAGGGGCUCUGCUGGAGGCUGGGAAAGCUCUGCAGAGGCAUGGGGACAGCUGGGGGUCCUGGUGGGCUGUUGACUGGAACAUUGCAGGGAUCUCAGAAUGUGCAUGGGUGACUGUGCCUGGCAUCGCCUCCCUUCCUGCAGCAGAGGCUGCCAAUGAGCCACUGCUUCCUCUUGGGAAUGCUUCCGUCUGGACUGGGUCUCCUUGCAGUUCUGGAGAAAGGGACAGAUGUGUGAGAUGGAACAGCCCUGCAGGGUGUGACAGCAGCAGCGGGGCAGCGAGGCUGCCAUGGAUCCCUUCCCGCUGUGCCGGGCACGGCGUGUCCAGAUGUGCAGAGAAAGCCCCCGGCUGCUGAGCCUCAGGAGAAGGCUGAGGGAAAUGCACCCACCACGGCGUCUCUUCAGAUCACUCAGCAUCUGCUCCAGAAGCCUGUCUGCCUCCAGGGAUUUCUUGCCUCCCAUGUAUUGGGCUUUGCCUGUUGGAGGACCUUAGAGCAAAGUAGUUCCCCUUCAUGUGGGUGGAUCCCACAAAAGCAGUGCUCAGCUUGUGGGGUCCGCAGGGACACACCACUCACCCCUGCGAUGGGAGCUGGGUUUGUACACAGCAUCCAGCCCUGGAGAUGGGAAAGUGCUCCCUGCAGACACACCUGUAACUCAACAGCCACAGAAGCUUCUGUCACCUGAUUCCUGCCAGGUUGUCAAUAAUUAUGCUAUGAAUGGAAGUUGAGAACUUAACUGCAGAAGCACCCAAGAGUUCCAAACUAUCUUCCACCUAACCUCCUGGAGAAGACUUCCCAGGAAUCUCACCUAGAAUAGAGCACAGACCAGAAGCAUUUCCAUGGUGUGCUGUGAUCCCCUUCUGCCUUAGGGAACUGGGCACGGCAAGGGAGGGAAAUGCACCAACCACGGUGUCGCUCCAGAUCACUUAGCAUCUGGUCCAGAAGUCUGUCUGCCUCCAGGGAUUUCUUGUCUGCUGUGUCUUGGGCCUUGCCUGCUGGAGGACCUUAGAGCAAAAUAGUUCCAUUUCAUGUGUAUGUGUCGGGUAAAGCCGUAGGAGCCACAUGUGAAUGGACAUGGCCAAAGCUGCAGAGGGGCCUGGGGAGCUCUGGGCUGGCUCUGGGCACUCUGCACACCCUUUCCAUGCCCUGAAUGCCCUGAGCAACAUCCCUGGAUGGGUGGCUGGAGCAGCCCAGGGCCCUCACCCUUUCCAUGGCCUGUGCAACAUCCCUGGAUGGGUGGCUGGAGCCACCCAGGGCCCCUGUGGGCUCUCUCCCUCCCAUAGAGGAAAGCCUCCCUAAAGCCCUACGCAAAACCACCCCCAACGCUUCCUGGGGAGAAGGGAGCGCUGUCCCGGGAAAGGGGAGCCAGGCCGCCGGCUCACCUGCUCCCCGCGCUGGCCACGGAGCUGCCUGGGCAGCCCUGGCAGGCAGGGCCACUGCCAGGAGGAGCAGGAGGAAGAGGCGCAGAGCAAGGGCCAUGGUGCCUUGCCCUCUGCCAGUCCCGCAGCUCUUGCUGCCACCGCUGUGCUGCCACCACUGUCCCAAUGUCAGCAGCACUUGUCAAGGACUGAGGGGCUGCACAUCGUGAUGCAGCAGAAGCACGGGGCUCUCUGAUGUCAGAGCCUGCUGUGACCUCUCUGGCGCUGGGACACAGGGCAGGCCUGGGUGGGGAUGGAGACCUGAGGGCUGGAAUCUUCCUUUUUCGGAAGGGAGCCCGUCCUGCACGGCAGUUCUGUCCAAGGGCUGGGACAGCCAACCCAGGUGGAGCUCACAGGCCUACGUUGUGUUCUGGACACUGGCAUGGGGACAGUGGGAGCUCACAUGCCCUGAGAACAGAUCACAUCCCAAGAUUUCUGAGCUCCUGAGGCACUGUUAGCCACAGCCCCCUGUGAUGAGGUGUGAGUGAUCUCUGGUUGGAGACAAGGGCAGGAUUCCCUCCUGGCAGCAGCUUCCCAGCUACAAAUUUGGCACCUUGGGGAGGCCAUGGCUAACACAGCCCUUUUGUUUCAUUGCAAAGGUGAAGCCUUCACUUCACCAUUGGCUCUUCACGUACAAUUUAUGGGUCUGCUUUCCCCUGGGAUUCUCAAGGGGGAUUGAUAAACAGGCAGUCAAUAAAUGGGUAAAACCACCCACCCUCUUAAAUGCUUUGAUAUGCCAAAGGA
rnacentral:lncRNA from 1 species